UCCCCAGUAGCGCAAUGGUUAGCGCACGGUACUUAUAAUCAGUACAAGGUCAUGCCGGGGUUGUGGGUUCAAGUCCCACCUGGGGAA
rnacentral:tRNA from 1 species